UUUUUAUAUUAAAAUUCUAUUUGAUGUUAAAGGUUAAUUAAAAUAUAAAAUAAAUAUUUUUCGUGUGUUAAAAUUGUAUACAAAACAAUAAUCAAUAAAAAAAAAUGUUCAAAUUUUUGAUAACCUUAGGCAUUGGAAUUUAUGCUGGUAUAUAUAUAAGUCAGAAUUAUGAGAUACCACGUGUAGAUGAUCCUAAUAAGAUAAUAGAACGAAUAAAAGAAUUUGCAGAUGAAUAUAAAAAAAAAUAACAAUUUAUU